rnacentral:tRNA from 1 species
GCCCCCGUAGCUCAGUUGGAUAGAGCGGCAGAUUUCUACUCUGCGGGUCGGGGGUUCGAAUCCCUCCGGGGGU